GAUGAAGAACGUAGCGAAAUGCGAUAAGUAGUGUGAAUUGCAGAAUUCAGUGAAUCAUCGAAUCUUUGAACGCACAUUGCGCCCCUUGGUAUUCCAUGGGGCAUGCCUGUUCGAGCGUCAUUUGUACCUUCAAGCUUUGCUUGGUGUUGGGUGUUUGUCCAUUCUCUUGCAGAGGGACUCGCCUUAAAGUAAUUGGCAGCCAGUGUUUUGGUUUUGAAGCGCAGCACAAGUCGCGAUUCAAAGCUAUACGCCCACUUCCACAAGCCUUUUUCACUUUUGACCUCGGAUCAGGUAGGGAUACCCGCUGAACUUAAGCAUAUCAAUAAGCGGAGGA
rnacentral:misc_RNA from 1 species